GGAGUGCGCCGGGUGGUCGCCGGCUCGCCGACGCCCUCGGGCGGAGGCGAGCGGGAGGAAAGUCCGAACUCCAUAGGACAGGGUGGUGGGUAACGCCCACCGUCCGUGAGGGCCGGGAAAGUGCCACAGAAAACAUACCGCCCCUUCGGGGGUAAGGGUGAAAAGGUGCGGUAAGAGCGCACCGCUCGGCCCGUGAGGGUCGAGGCAUGGUAAACCCCACCCGGAGAAAGGCCAAAUAGAGGGGGAUCGGGAGAAAUCUCGUGCGGGGCGGUCCGUCCCGCCAUGACCCCUGGGUAGGCUGCUGGAGCUCCCUCGCAAGGCGGAGCCUAGACGAAUGGCCACCGAACGGGCCGGAGGGAUCUCCCGCCGGUCCGGGAACAGGAUUCGGCUUACAGGCGCGCUCCCGCA
rnacentral:RNase_P_RNA from 1 species